AUGGCGGUGUGCGCUCGCCUCUGCGGCGUGGGCCCGUCGCGGGGAUGCCGGCGCCGCCAGCAGCGCCGGGGCCCGGCCGAGACCGCAGCGGCCGACAGCGAACCGGACACGGACCCCGAGGAGGAGCUCAUCGAGGCGGGCUCGGCGGCGCUGUCCGGGGCGGGGGACGACCGGAGCGCGGGCCCCUCGUCGCCCCCGCGAUGCUCGCUGCUGGAGCUGCCGCCCGAGCUGCUGGUGGAGAUCUUCGCGUCGCUGCCCGGCACCGACCUGCCCAGCCUGGCCCAGGUCUGCACCAAGUUCCGACGCAUUCUGCACACUGACACCAUCUGGAGGCGGCGCUGCCGGGAGGAGUAUGGCGUUUGUGAGAACUUGCGGAAGCUGGAGAUCACGGGCGUGUCUUGUCGAGAUGUCUAUGCCAAGCGUAUAAACCCACGCGUGAAGUCGGGACGUUUCAUGAGAAUUCUGCCCGAUUACGAGCACAUGGAGUACAGAGACGUGUACACUUGCCGAAGCGGAAGUGAGGGACUUUUCCCAGGACAUCUGCUGCACUGGCCGUGGCCACGCAGUGGGAUCUCAGUGCUUCACCGAUACAGACACAUCCUGGGCUUGUGGCAGCCAGAUAUCGGGCCGUACGGAGGACUGCUGAACGUGGUGGUGGAUGGCUUGUUCAUCAUUGGCUGGAUGUACCUGCCUCCCCACGACCCUCACGUGGACGACCCAAUGCGGUUCAAGCCCCUGUUCCGAAUCCAUCUGAUGGAGAGGAAGUCGGCCACGGUGGAGUGCAUGUACGGCCACAGAGGGCCCCACAACGGCCACGUCCAGAUCGUGAAGAAGGACGAGUUCUCCACCAAGUGCAACCAGACGGACCACCACAGGAUGUCUGGCGGGCGGCAGGAGGAAUUCCGCACAUGGCUGAGGGAGGAGUGGGGCCGGACGCUGGAGGACAUUUUCCACGAGCACAUGCAGGAGCUCAUCCUGAUGAAGUUCAUCUACACCAGUCAGUACGACAACUGCCUGACCUACCGCCGCAUCUACCUCCCGCCCAGCCGCCCGGAUGACCUCAUCAGGCCGGGCCUCUUCAAGGGCACCUACGGCAGCCACGGCCUGGAGAUCGUCAUGCUCAGCUUCCACGGGAAGCAUGCCCGGGGCACGAAGAUCACGGGCGACCCCAACAUCCCUGCUGGGCAGCAGACGGUGGAGAUUGACCUCAGGCACCGCAUCCAGCUGCCUGAUGCUGAGAGCCUGCAUGACUUCAACGAGCUCUCCCGAGUCGUCCUGGAGGUGCGCGAGCAGGUGCGCCAGGAGCAGGAGAAGGAGCAGGAAGGCGGGCCCGAGGAUGCCGAGGGUCUCGGCCGGCAGAGCCCCCAGCCCUGCGAGGAGCCACCCGCCGAGCCGGCCCAGGCACCUGGGGAUGGAGGGGCUGCGGCCGCGGCUGAGCCACCUGCCCAGUCGGGGCAGGGGCAGCCGUUUGUGCUGCCAGUGGGCGUGAGCUCGAGGAAUGAGGACUAUCCCCGGACCUGCAGGAUGUGUUUCUACGGCACCGGCCUCAUCGCCGGCCACGGCUUCACCAGCCCUGAGCGCACCCCCGGGGUCUUCGUCCUAUUUGACGAGGACCGCUUCGGGUUCAUCUGGCUGGAGCUGAAGUCCUUCAGCCUGUACAGCAGGGUCCAGGCCGCGUUCCGGAACGCAGACGCCCCGUCCCCACAGGCCUUUGAGGAGAUGCUCAAGAACAUCCAGUCCUUCACCUCCUGACGGUCCGCCUCCCCUCGGCGGGUGGCUCAGGGCUGGGAGGGCAGCAGCAUGCGCUCGGGGGGACUUGGCCAACACCCGACACCCCCCUGCUCGCAGGAGCCUUGGCGCUGCCGCCCAGAUGCUUUCCACAGAGUGCACCGCACACCUGCAUAUCCGCCAGUAGCAACAGGAGGGCUGAGCAUGUCUUGAAAAAAGCAACAGAAUCAGAACAAGCUGACCUGGAGGAUGGGCCAUGGGGCGUGUAGGAACUGAACUG
rnacentral:lncRNA from 1 species